UGGGGAAUCUUGGACAAUGGGCGCAAGCCUGAUCCAGCCAUGCCGCGUGAGUGACGAAGGUCUUCGGAUUGUAAAGCUCUUUUUGGCGGGGACGAUAAUGACGGUACCCGCAGAAUAAGCCCCGGCUAACUUCGUGCCAGCAGCCGCGGUAAUACGAAGGGGGCUAGCGUUGUUCGGAAUUACUGGGCGUAAAGCGCACGUAGGCGGAUCUAUAAGUCAGGGGUGAAAUCCCGGGGCUCAACCUCGGAACUGCCUUUGAUACUGUAGAUCUCGAGUCCGGAAGAGGUGAGUGGAAUUCCUAGUGUAGAGGUGAAAUUCGUAGAUAUUAGGAAGAACACCAGUGGCGAAGGCGGCUCACUGGUCCGGUACUGACGCUGAGGUGCGAAAGCGUGGGGAGCAAACAGGAUUAGAUACCCUCGUAGUCCCUGAGCGGGCUGGCAAGGCGCAU
rnacentral:rRNA from 1 species